UUUCGAACCGAUUUACCGCCUGAAUCAUUGCUCGACCAAUUUCUUUAAUUAAAAAGCUGAGCAAAGUUUCAGGUGUGUCAAACGGUCCGGU